AUUGAACGCUGGCGGCGUGCCUAACACAUGCAAGUCGAGCGGUAACAGGUGUAGCAAUACAUGCUGACGAGCGGCGGACGGGUGAGUAACGCUUGGGAAUCUGCCUAUUAGUGGGGGACAACCCGGGGAAACUCGGGCUAAUACCGCAUACGCUCUACGGAGGAAAGCCGGGGACCGCAAGGCCUGGCGCUAAUAGAUGAGCCCAAGUCGGAUUAGCUAGUUGGUAGGGUAAUGGCCUACCAAGGCGACGAUCCGUAACUGGUCUGAGAGGACGACCAGUCACACCGGAACUGAGACACGGUCCGGACUCCUACGGGAGGCAGCAGUGGGGAAUAUUGGACAAUGGGCGAAAGCCUGAUCCAGCGACGCCGCGUGGGUGAAGAAGGCCUGCGGGUUGUAAAGCCCUUUCAGUGGGGAAGAAAAGCCUCGACCUACACGUCGGGUCUUGACGUAACCCAUAGAAGAAGCACCGGCUAACUCUGUGCCAGCAG
rnacentral:rRNA from 1 species